UGAAACCAAGAGUCAUACGCUUAACAGACUGAGCCACCCAGGUGCCCAUGGCUCCAAGUAAUUUUUAUUUUAUUGUUUUGCUCUUUCCAAGAAUCUUGUUUCUGAAACAAGCUUAGUUCAGUGCCUAGCAAUAUCAGGUACUGUAAAUGACAAAUGGAACGAUUAAUUUUAUUUUUGCAUCACUUAGUUUAUAUUAGUAUGUUUAUACUCAUUGUUAAGUUAUCAAAAUAGGCUGUGGGCUUUGAGGGCAACAAGGACAGCAUCAUUGGAUAAUGCAUUAGCUCCUUUAAAGAGGACAAAGCUCUUGGGGAUAUGGAAAGUCUGGUUAUGAUUAGCUUCCUUGUACAGAAAUUCUUCAGAUUAGUUGGAGGGUUUUUUUUUUUUUUUUGUCAGAUUUACUGAGAUAUAAUUGACCUAAAAUAAAACUGUACGCAUUAAAGUGUACAAUUUGAUGUUUAAACACCCAUGAAACCAACACCCCCAAAAGUUUCCUCUGCCCUUUUAUAAUUCUUUCUUCCUUUCUCCUGCCCACCUCGUCCAUCCCUAGGCAACCACUCAUCUGCUUUCUGCCAGUACAAGUUAGUUUGCAUUUCCUAGAAUUUUAUAUAAAUGGAAGCAUAUGGUAUAUACUUUAUCUGGUCUUAUUUCUUUCACUCAGCAUAAUUAUUUUGGAAUUCAUCCAUGUUCUAUAUAAUGAUAAUUCCAGACCAGUAUUUUUUUUUUUAAUAAUUUAGCCUACUGAUUUUAUUUGAUAUCUUCUGGAUUUUGUUUGUUUGUUUUUUAAUUUGACAGGCCUGUGGUAGACAGUCUUGGGAAGGAUGAUUGCUAGGUGUGAAAGCUCGGGGGAGGCAGGAAGUCUUACCCUGCCUACCUAGACAGGCUUCAAAGUGGAAUUGGUUAAGCCCGUCUUAAUCAUAAUCUUUCUGAGUUACCUGAAUUCUAGUUGCUGUUGUACGUGAGAUGCUUACUGAUGAGUUGCCUAAUUAUUGAUGUUUGAGUGGGGUAUGUGGGGAAAAGAGCUUAGGGCAGAUCUGCAUUCUGGUGUUGUUUUGUCUUGUUCCUGAUUUGUACUCUUUCACUUUUACCUUUUUAUUGGAAACGUUUGUCUGUUUCUGUGAUUGACGUGUAAGCCAGUUAUAUAUACAGAAUUUUGGAACUGUAGAAUGGAGGCCUAGCGUCUACUGUAAAAUGAAUAGUAAUUUUGAAUACCAACACUUUGUUUUCACAGGACAGGGUCCGUAUUGUAGUUUUAAUUUUCUGUAUUGUA